rnacentral:rRNA from 1 species
UACGUAGGGCGCGAGCGUUGUCCGGAAUUAUUGGGCGUAAAGAGCUCGUAGGCGGCCUGUUGCGUCUGCUGUGAAAACCCGGAGCUCAACUCCGGGCCUGCAGUCGAUACGGGCAGACUGGAGUUCGGCAGGGGAGACUGGAAUUCCUGGUGUAGCGGUGAAAUGCGCAGAUAUCAGGAGGAACACCGGUGGCGAAGGCGGGUCUCUGGGCCGAUACUGACGCUGAGGAGCGAAAGCGUGGGGAGCGAACAGG